rnacentral:misc_RNA from 1 species
UCUCCGUAGGUGAACCUGCGGAGGGAUCAUUACAGAGUUCAUGCCCUACCGGGUAGAUCUCCCACCCUAUGUUAUUAUUACUUUGUUGCUUUGGCGGGCCGUUAGGCUCCGGCCCGACUACCGGCCCCGGCUGGUAAGCGCCCGCCAGAGGACCCAAAACCCUGAAUAUUAGUGUCGUCUGAGUACUAUAUAAUUGUUAAAACUUUCAACAACGGAUCUCUUGGUUCUG